rnacentral:rRNA from 1 species
CGAACGGGUGAGUAACGCGUGAGAAACCUGCCUCAAAGAGGGGGACAACAGUUGGAAACGACUGCUAAUACCGCAUAAGCCCACGGCUCGGCAUCGAGCAGAGGGAAAAGGAACAAUCCGCUUUGAGAUGGCCUCGCGUCCGAUUAGCUAGUUGGUGAGGUAACGGCCCACCAAGGCGACGAUCGGUAGCCGGACUGAGAGGUUGAACGGCCACAUUGGGACUGAGACACGGCCCAG